CAUAUCAAUAAGCGGAGGAAAAGAAACCAACAGGGAUUGCCUUAGUAGCGGCGAGUGAAGCGGCAAAAGCUCAAAUUUGAAAUCUGGCUCUUUCAGAGUCCGAGUUGUAAUUUGAAGAAGGUAUCUUUGGGUCUGGCUCUUGUCUAUGUUUCUUGGAACAGAACGUCACAGAGGGUGAGAAUCCCGUGCGAUGAGAUGAUCCAGGCCUAUGUAAAGUUCCUUCGAAGAGUCGAGUUGUUUGGGAAUGCAGCUCUAAGUGGGUGGUAAAUUCCAUCUAAAGCUAAAUAUUGGCGAGAGACCGAUAGCGAACAAGUACAGUGAUGGAAAGAUGAAAAGAACUUUGAAAAGAGAGUGAAAAAGUACGUGAAAUUGUUGAAAGGGAAGGGCUUGAGAUCAGACUUGGUAUUUUGUAUGUUACUUCUUCGGGGGUGGCCUCUACAGUUUAUCGGGCCAGCAUCAGUUUGGGCGGUAGGAGAAUUGCGUUGGAAUGUGGCACGGCUUCGGUUGUGUGUUAUAGCCUUCGUCGAUACUGCCAGCCUAGACUGAGGACUGCGGUUUAUACCUAGGAUGUUGGCAUAAUGAUCUUAAGUCGCCCGUCUUGAAACACGGACC
rnacentral:rRNA from 1 species